AAAGAAGCAAAACAGGUUUAAUUGAAGCGCGUCGCAAAAGGCAGGGGCUAAAUGCGCAAUUGUACCAUCAAAAGCAACAACGCCCGGAUCCUCCCCUUCAGGUCGGGUCACCGCGCGGGUCUGCUUUAGUGAAAACGACGUCGUUUCGAAAAUAUUAUUUAAACAAAAAAAUGUUAAAAAAACAGUUUACAGCACACUCAAAAAAAAUAAAAAAGAAAGGGUUGCCACCCCUUUUCCUCUGCUAGGGUUUCAGCCCUAGCCCCCUUUUGCGCCGCCGCCGUAACACGCCUCCGCCGUAAUUUCACCGAGAAUGGUGAUUGGAGAGGUGACACGACGGGCUUUUAACUGCCCUUGAGCAGAUUCAAAACGGAGGUAACCCCUUUUUCCCCCUUUUUCUAAUUUUAUUUAUACAAAAACAAUCAAAAAAAAAAGAAAAAACGUAAGAUGCAAAAAUGAAAAGAAAACAGUGGUGCGAUUCACCUCUUUUCUAUUUUAUUGUUUUUUUAUCUUCUUCUCUGUGUAUCUCUCUGUUAUUGUCUAUAUCUCCCCCCGC
rnacentral:lncRNA from 1 species